GACGAACGCUGGCGGCGUGCUUAACACAUGCAAGUCGGGCGGUAAGGCCCUUUCGGGGGUACACGAGCGGCGAACGGGUGAGUAACACGUGGGUGACCUGCCCUUAGCUCUGGGAUAAGCCUGGGAAACUGGGUCUAAUACCGGAUAUGACUCCAUGACGCAUGUUGUGGGGUGGAAAGCCUUGUGCGGCUAGGGAUGGGCCUGCGGCCUAUCAGCUUGUUGGUGGGGUGAUGGCCUACCAAGGCGACGACGGGUAGCCGGCCUGAGAGGGCGACCGGCCACACUGGGACUGAGACACGGCCCAGACUCCUACGGGAGGCAGCAGUGGGGAAUCUUGCGCAAUGGGCGAAAGCCUGACGCAGCGACGCCGCGUGGAGGAUGACGGCCUGGUGU
rnacentral:rRNA from 1 species